UUGGAGGGCAAGUCUGGUGCCAGCAGCCGCGGUAAUUCCAGCUCCAAUAGCGUAUAUUAAAGUUGUUGCAGUUAAAAAGCUCGUAGUUGAAUUUCGGGAUCAAUUUAUUGGUCGUGCUAUUGUACGUACUGGUAUUAUUGAUUCCUACCUUCUGACGAACCAUGAUGUCAUUAAUUUGGUGUCAUGGGGAAUCAGGACUGUUACUUUGAAAAAAUUAGAGUGUUUAAAGCAGGCUCACGCUUGUAUACAUUAGCAUGGAAUAAUGAAAUAGGACGUUUGAUUCUAUUUUGUUGGUUUCUAGGAUCGACGUAAUGAUUAAUAGGGAUAGUUGGGGGCAUUAGUAUUCAAUUGUCAGAGGUGCAAUUCUUGGAUUUAUUGAAGACUAACUACUGCGAAAGCAUUGGCCAAGGAUGUUCUCAUUAAUCAAGAACGAAAGUUAGGGGAUCGAAGACGAUCAGAUACCGUCGUAGUCUUAACCAUAAACUAUGCCGACUAGGGAUCGGAUGAUGUUAAUUUUUUAAUGACUCAUUCGGCGCCUUACGGGAAAC
rnacentral:rRNA from 1 species